CUGGGAGGACCAUCUCCUAAGGCUAAAUACUCUCUAGUGACCGAUAGUGAACCAGUACCGUGAGGGAAAGGUGAAAAGCACCCCGGAAGGGGAGUGAAAUAGAACCUGAAACCGUGUGCUUACAAGUAGUCAGAGCCCGUUAAUGGGUGAUGGCGUGCCUUUUGUAGAAUGAACCGGCGAGUUACGAUUUGAUGCAAGGUUAAGCAGUAAAUGUGGAGCCGUAGCGAAAGCGAGUCUGAAUAGGGCGUUUAGUAUUUGGUCGUAGACCCGAAACCAGGUGAUCUACCCUUGGUCAGGUUGAAGUUCAGGUAACACUGAAUGGAGGACCGAACCGACUUACGUUGAAAAGUGAGCGGAUGAACUGAGGGUAGCGGAGAAAUUCCAAUCGAACCUGGAGAUAGCUGGUUCUCUCCGAAAUAGCUUUAGGGCUAGCCUCAAGUGAUGAUUAUUGGAGGUAGAGCACUGUUUGGACGAGGGGCCCCUCUCGGGUUACCGAAUUCAGACAAACUCCGAAUGCCAAUUAAUUUAACUUGGGAGUCAGAACAUGGGUGAUAAGGUCCGUGUUCGAAAGGGAAACAGCCCAGACCACCAGCUAAGGUCCCAAAAUAUAUGUUAAGUGGAAAAGGAUGUGGCGUUGCCCAGACAACUAGGAUGUUGGCUUAGAAGCAGCCAUCAUUUAAAGAGUGCGUAAUAGCUCACUAGUCGAGUGACA
rnacentral:rRNA from 1 species